UACGUAGGGCGCAAGCGUUGUCCGGAAUCAUUGGGCGUAAAGAGCUCGUAGGUGGUCUGUUACGUCUGCUGUGAAAACCUAGGGCUUAACCCUGGGUCUGCAGUGGAUACGGGCAGACUAGAGGUAGGUAGGGGAGAAUGGAAUUCCCGGUGUAGCGGUGAAAUGCGCAGAUAUCGGGAGGAACACCGGUGGCGAAGGCGGUUCUCUGGGCCUUACCUGACACUGAGGAGCGAAAGCGUGGGGAGCGAACAGG
rnacentral:rRNA from 1 species